GAUGAACGCUGGCGGCGUGCCUAAUACAUGCAAGUCGAGCGAACAGACGAGGAGCUUGCUCCUCUGACGUUAGCGGCGGACGGGUGAGUAACACGUGGAUAACCUACCUAUAAGACUGGGAUAACUUCGGGAAACCGGAGCUAAUACCGGAUAAUAUAUUGAACCGCAUGGUUCAAUAGUGAAAGACGGUUUUGCUGUCACUUAUAGAUGGAUCCGCGCCGCAUUAGCUAGUUGGUAAGGUAACGGCUUACCAAGGCAACGAUGCGUAGCCGACCUGAGAGGGUGAUCGGCCACACUGGAACUGAGACACGGUCCAGACUCCUACGGUAGGCAGCAGUAGGGAAUCUGCCGCAAUGGGCGAAAGCCUGACGGAGCAACGCCGCGUGAGUGAUGAAGGUCUUCGGAUCGUAAAACUCUGUUAUUAGGGAAGAACAAAUGUGUAAGUAACUAUGCACGUCUUGACGGUACCUAAUCAGAAAGCCACGGCUAACUACGUG
rnacentral:rRNA from 1 species